AGUAGAUGCUCUAAGAAAGAAUCCAGAAUAGCUUCAUCUUCAACUAAGAAGUUUUAUAAAAGUGACUGCCUCCCUUUUCCUGGGCUGAGAAGGAAAGCGCUUAGCCAGAUCAUCUCCAUCCAUUUACUUGAAAUCAGAGGCUCUUCUUUCUUCCUUCCAUACCUACAGCUUUAUGAGCCAGGCACACUCCGAUCAAUUUGGAGCAAUUCAUGUCAGCAGUCUGGAAUUGGACGGUAACUCUCUUGGGCUACUUCCCUGACAUCUGGAAUCCAUGAAGAGUUCCAGACAUUGCUGGAAGCAGAGAUGGAGAAGGUGUUACCCACACUGGUUCUGGUACCUGGGACCCAUUUACCCUGAGGAGAAAUUAUCCAGGUAGCAUGCUGGCUUAGCGCCGAGACCACCAAGCAAAGAUUCUACCACUCGGCUUGAGGAGUGAGCUCUUACACUAACUGUCCUCCGCACCAUACUGAUGAGAUGGGGCACAUCCAGUGGUCCUCAAAGAUGCAGAGAGGCUCAAAUGACUCAGACGGGAUCAUUACAAACUCAAGAAACAGCACUUGACCCAGGGCCACCUGACACCAGCGCUCUUACUGUUAAUCACUUUGUUUAUCCUCCUCCUCUAAGAACUGUCUUUCCA
rnacentral:lncRNA from 1 species